GACGAACGCUGGCGGCGUGCCUAACACAUGCAAGUCGAGCGGAGUUGACAAGAGGAAGUUUUCGGAUGGAAUCUUGCCAGCUUAGCGGCGGACGGGUGAGUAACGCGUGAGCGACCAACCUUGCACAGGGGGAUAACGGACCGAAAGGUUCACUAAUACCGCAUGAGACCACGGUGUUGCAUGACACAGGGGUCAAAGGAGGAAUCCGGUGCAAGACGGGCUCGCGUCCGAUUAGGUAGUUGGAGGGGUAACGGCCCACCAAGCCUAUGAUCGGUAGCCGACCUGAGAGGGUGAUCGGCCACAUUGGAACUGGGAUACGGUCCAAACUCCUACGGGAGGCAGCAGUGGGGAAUAUUGGGCAAUGGGGGAAACCCUGACCCAGCAACGCCGCGUGAAGGAAGAAGGUUUUCGGAUUGUAAACUUCUGUCUUGGUGAAGAGAAGAAGACGGUAGCCAAGGAGGAAGCCCCGGCUAACUACGUGCCAGCCGCCGCCGUAA
rnacentral:rRNA from 1 species